ensembl:lncRNA
UGGAUGGAUGGGGAUGGAUGGCAUGGAUGGGAUGGAAUGAUGGGAUGAUGGAUGGGAUGGGAUGGAUGGGAUGGAUGGGAAUGGGAUGGGAUUGGGAUGCGAUGGAUGGGCAUCUGGAUGGGAUGGAUGGGAUGGGAUGGGAUGGUGGCAGGGAUGGGCUAUGGAUGGGUUAUGCGAAUGGGAUGGAUGGGAUGGAUGACUGGGCAUGGAUGGGAUGGGUUGGGAUGGGAUGGAUGGGAAUGGAUGGAUGGGAUGGAUGGGAUGGGAUGGGAUGGGAUGGGAUGGGAUGGAGCAAGAUGGGAUGGAUGGAUGGGAAUGGAUGGGAUGGGAUGCGAUGGGAUGGAUCGGGAUGGAUGGAUGGGGAUGGUGGGAGGGAUGGGAUGGAUGGGAUGGGAUGGAUGGGAUGAUGAUGAGAUGGAUGGGUGGGAUGGAUGGAGGGAUGAUGGGAUGGUGACUGGAUGGGAUGGGAUGGGAUGGAUGGAUGGGAUGGAGGAUGAUUGGGAUGGAUGGGAUGGGAUGGGAUGCGAUGGGAUGGAUGGGAUGGGCAUGGAUGGGAUGGAGUGGCGACUGGAUGGAUUGGGAUGGGAUGGAUGGUGAUGGGGAUGGGAUGGGAUGGAUGGAUGGGAUGGAUGGGGAUGGCAUGGGCUGAUGGUAUGGAUGGGAUGGAUGGGAUGGGAUGGAUGAUGGAUGGAUGGGAAAUGGAUGGGAUGGAGGGAUGGAUGGGAAUGGGCAUGGGAUGGGUGGAUGGGAUGGGAUGGGAUGGGAUGGAUGGAUGGGAUGGGAUGGGAUGGAUGGGAUGGGAUGGGAUGGAUGGGAGGGGAUGGGAUGGGAGGAUGGAUGGAUGGGGAUGGGAUGGGCAUGGAUGGAAUGGAUGCGAAUUGGAUGGAUGGGAUGGAGGGGAAUGGGAUGGAACUUGGGAUGCGACUGCGGGAUGGGAUGGGAGGAUGGGAUGGGAGGAUGGGAUGGAUGGAUGGGGAUGGAUGGGAGGAACUGGAUGGGGAUUGGAUGGGAUGGAGAUGGGAUGGGAUGGCAUGGAUGGGAUGGCGAUGCAUGAUGGGAUGGGAUGGGAUGGGAUGGGAUGGAAUGGGAUGGGAUGGAUGGGAUGGGAUGGGUGGGAUGGGAUGGGAUGGAUGGAUGGAUGGGAUGGGAUGGGAUGGAUGGGAUGGGAUGGGAUGGGAUGGGAUGGGAUGGGAUGGAUGGGAUGGGAGGAGGGAUGGGAUGGGACCCCGAUGCGAAUGCGGAUGCGGAUGGGAUCGGAUGGGAUGGAUUGGACUGGGAUGGGAUGGAUGGGAUUGGGAUGGAUGGAUGGAUGGAUGGAUGGGAGGGGAUGGAUGGGUUGGGACUGGGAUGGGAUGGCAUGGAUGGGAUGGAAUGGGAUGGGAUGGCAAUGGUUGGGAUGAGGUGGAUGGCAAUGGAUGGGAUGAGGUGGAUGGCAAUGGAUGGGAUGAGGUGGAUGGGAUGGGAUGGAUGGAUGGAGGAUGGGAGGGAUGAUGGAUGGGAUGGAUGAGGGAUGGGAUGGGAUGGAUGGGGUGGGAUGGGAUGGAUGGGAUGGGAUCAAUUGGAUGGAUCAAUGGGAAUGGAUGGAUGGGAUGGGAUCGGGAU